AUUGAACGCUGGCGGCAGGCCUAACACAUGCAAGUCGAGCGAGCGGCGGACGGGUGAGUAAUGUAUGGGGACUGCACGAUAGAGGGGGAUAACUACUGGAAACGGUGGCUAAUACCGCAUACUAUCGGAUAACCCAUAUGGGAUUAGCUAGUAGGUGGGGUAAAGGCUCACCUAGGCGACGAUCUCUAGCUGGUCUCAGAGGAUGAUAAGCAACACUGGAACAGGGAAACGGCCCGGACUCCAACGGAGGCAGCAGUGGGGAAUAUUGCACAUUGGGCGCAAGCCUGAUGCAGCCAUGCCGCGUGUAUGAAGAAGGCCUUAGGGUUGUAAAGUACUUUCAGCGGGGAUGCGUUACCCGAAGAAGAAGCACCGGCUAACUCCGUGCCAGCAGCCGCGGUAAUAC
rnacentral:rRNA from 1 species